GCCACUUUAGCUUGGAGGCAGAGCAUCUGCUUUGCAUGCAGAAGGUCCCAGGUUCUAUCCCCGGCAUCUCCAAGUAGGGCA